UGGGGAAUUUUGCACAAUGGGGGAAACCCUGAUGCAGCGACGCCGCGUGAUUUAGAAGGCCUUCGGGUUGUAAAAAUCUUUUUUAUGGGAUGAAAAUGACAGUACCAUAAGAAUAAGGUCCGGCUAAAUACGUGCCAGCAGCCGCGGUAAUACGUAUGGACCGAGCGUUGUCCGGAAUCAUUGGGCGUAAAGGGUACGUAGGCGGCCCAGUAAGUUAGAAGUGAAAUAAUAUAGCUCAACUAUAUAAAGCUUUUAAAACUGCUAGGCUUGAGAGAUGGAAGGGAAAGUGGAAUUCCUAGUGGAGCGGUGAAAUGCGCAGAUAUUAGGAAGAAUACUGGUGGCGAAGGCGACUUUCUGGUCAUCAUCUGGCGCUGAGGUACGAAAGCGUGGGUAGCAAACAGG
rnacentral:rRNA from 1 species